AUUGAACGCUGGCGGCAUGCUUUACACAUGCAAGUCGAACGGCAGCGCGGGGCCACCUGGCGGCGAGUGGCGAACGGGUGAGUAAUAUAUCGGAACGUACCCAGAAGUGGGGGAUAACGUAGCGAAAGUUACGCUAAUACCGCAUACGAUCUACGGAUGAAAGUAGGGGACCGCAAGGCCUUAUGCUUUUGGAGCGGCCGAUAUCUGAUUAGCUAGUUGGCGAGGUAAAGGCUCACCAAGGCGACGAUCAGUAGCUGGUCUGAGAGGACGACCAGCCACACUGGAACUGAGACACGGUCCAGACUCCUACGGGAGGCAGCAGUGGGGAAUUUUGGACAAUGGGCGCAAGCCUGAUCCAGCAAUGCCGCGUGAGUGAAGAAGGCCUUCGGGUUGUAAAGCUCUUUUGUCAGGGAAGAAACGGUAGAGGCUAAUAUCCUUUGCUAAUGACGGUACCUGAAGAAUAAGCACCGGCUAACUACGUG
rnacentral:rRNA from 1 species